CCACCUGUUCCCAUCCCGAACACAGAAGUUAAGCUCAUCUGCGCCGAGGGUACUUUGCGGGCGACCGCACGGAAGAUUAGGUCGUUGCUGCUU
rnacentral:rRNA from 1 species